GAACUUGGAGCCAGCUGUGUCCAGUUUAAGUUCAAGCCAGUUAACUGGCUUAGGACCACCAGCCCUCUAAUUGGGCUUGAACAAGUGUUUGCCCAUGACCUUUUGACAUCAGAGGGCCCAAAACUCCACCCUCAGAACAUGCUAAUGUCUCCAUUUCUUGAAUCUUCAGCCUAUGAAGAAGCCUAUAGCAUAGUUUUGCCUGCGAGAACAAUUAUAUCACUUUCUAAUUUCCAAUCACCUUUUCCCAUGCUUCCCACGCCUCGGCUUUAUCCCAUAAAUACCCCCAGCCCCUUAUUUCAGGGGAGGCUGGUUUGAGAGUUCUCCAUCUUUCUGUUUGGUCACCUUGUGGAUGAGCCCUUUGGUGCAAAGUUUGGCAUCUCAGCAUUUGGUUUGCUGUAUACGUCAGAAAGCAACCUGUUUAAGUAAGAAGAGGAUGUUGGGCGUGCACCCAGUCUUCUGUAGUGGAGCAGGCCAAGGAGAAGAAACUUGCAAGAAGACUGAAAGAAGGAACAAAAGAAGAAGAAAAUCAGAGAUGCCCAAGCUUUUUUGGUUUUCUUUUUUGAUUGAUGGAUGAAUAAACUCAGAAUGUUUUACUCAAAACUGGAUACACAACUUGUGAGGCCCAGUGCAAAAUGAAAAAUGGUGGACUGCUUAUUCAAAAAGCAGAAGAAGAAAGGCUGUUAAAAGUACUAAAUUAUACAACUUUCUCCUUUAAAAAGAUUUGAUUGUUUGUAAAAUGUAACUUGAAUCAAAUUGCUAUAUGAGUAAUAAUAUAUAUAUUGAAAAAAGUACUUCUGGUGUCAUAAGUUUAUAUAAUAUAAUAAAUAACUGUGGUGUUGGAGAAGACUCUUAAGAGUCCCUUGGACUGCAAGGAGAUCCAACCAGUCCAUUCUGAAGGAGAUCAGACCUGGGAUUUCUUUGGAAGGAAUGACGCUAAAGCUGAAACUCCAGUACUUUGGCCACCUCAUGUGAAGAGUUGACUCAUCGGAAAAGACCCUGAUGCUGGGAGGGAUUGGGGGCAGGAGGAGAAGGGGAUGACAGAGGAUGAGAUUGCUGGAUGGCAUCACAGACUCGAUGGACGUGAGUCUAGGUGAACUCCGGGAGUCGGUGAUGGACAGGGAGGCCUGGCAUGCUGCGAUUCAUGGGGUCGCAAAGAGUCAGACACGACUGAGAGACUGAACUGAACCUUAAUAGUUUGAUCAUAAGAUUUAUUCUGGAUCAGUUUUCUGCAAAUCAAUUUGUUAGGUCAUCCAAAUAUAUAAUUUUAGCAACUUCAUUUCAAUGAAUAAAAUUAAAGAAGCAUCAAUCACUCCUGGCAAAUGUAAGACUGCAAAUAAUGUUUGAAAAAGUUUAAUUUUGCAAGCAUCUUCCUACUUAUGUACCUAUUAAUUAAUAAGCUGUGAUAAGUAUUUCAUAGGCUGUGACAAAUUGUGAUAAAUAUCUGGCAAAUUAUUUUAAAAUAUAAAUUGUAUUAUAUUUAGAGCUUAUAAUUGUGGGAUAAUUUUUCUAAAGAGAUUUAACUCUUCAUACAAGUGAGUUUCAGGUAAGUCUAUACUUAAUUUUAAAUAUGAAUUUGCACAAUGGUAUUUUAAUGGUUCCUUUGACUUUCUUUAGUUUAUGGAUAUCAUUUAAGAAGAUGAAAGGGACUUCAUGAUUUGUAUAUAAUUUUUAAUGUCUGUUUUAUAUCACUAUCUUCAAUUAGAAGGAAACAUUCAUUUAAAAAUUAUUUUCCUUGUUAAUAAUUAUCUGAAGCUUCGUAAGAAUUUGGGAUCCUUUUCUAUUAAAUGCAAUGUCUUUACAUUUAAUCGCUAUCACUAAGCUUGUGAAUACUUACUUUUUAAUACUGCAGCAGCUUUCACAAGUCAGGGAUUCUAAACUCUGAAGAAUUGUAAUGACUCCCUGAUAUGCUUUAUUGUGGUUUCAGUGUGUUUGCUGUUUGUAAUUAUCUGCUGACAAAGUUUACUGUCGAGCACAAGCAAUUUCUGUCCAGUGUUUAGAAUAAAAAGUUAAUAUUUGUGCAAAGCCUUAAGAACAGGCCUCAGGGAUGGGAUGGAGGGGCAAGCCAGCCUCCCACCAGGGGUUCUGAGGGUGCUUCCUCU
ensembl:lncRNA